ACACGAGGCAUCCUCUGCGGUUGCGCAGCCCGCCGAAGAGCGUGCGACUUCUACUGCGGCUGCGCAAGCUGGACGCGCGCAGUCUUGUCUGCUUACGAGGGCUCCUCCCUUCAUCUUUGGUCCCUCGGGGCGUCUGGGCAGCCUACGCUUUCCGUAAACACUGGGAUGCUGGAGCUCAGGCAUCCCAGACAGGAGGAGUGUGUACUCACACCAGCCAGGAGGAAACAAGCCUGCCUGAGAGGACAGAGGAUCAGCCCUGGCUGUCCCUCGGGAGCGGGGGGCCUCCAAGGCACACUGCCCACUGGGUCAAGGAGUAUCCAGGAGGAGUUAGAAGCAUGACCCAUCCGCCUGGCACCAGCACCUGGGGCUGCCAGGCAGCCACCCCUGCAGCUGUGUUGACAGGGCCUGGCAGAGGGACUGACCCACCUUUGGAAAAUGACACCAGCAAUAUCAGGAUGUGUCAACUGGAUUUAUGUUAAGAAAAUAGGAUUUUUGGCGUUCCUCUGUUUCCCAAAGUUUGAGACACUUUCAGACACUCUGCUUUGCGGUUGUGGC
rnacentral:antisense_RNA from 1 species